rnacentral:ncRNA from 1 species
UGACCUCGGAUCAGACGUGAUUACCCGCUGAAUUUAAGCAUAUUAUUAAGCGGAGGAAAAGAAACUAACAAGGAUUCCCCUAGUAACGGCGAGUGAACGGGGAAGAGCCCAACACCGAAUCCCUUGGCGCAAGUCAACGGGAAAUGUGGUGUUAAGGUAGCCCUUCGUGUCAGUCUAGGCGUCUCAAGUCCACCUGAUUGUGGCUCAAGCCCAGAGAGGGUGUAAGGCCCGUAGAGACGCUCCGACUGAUUCCUGGGGUUUACCUACGAGUCGGCUUGUUUGGGAAUGCAGGCCAAAGCGGGUGGUAAAC